rnacentral:hammerhead_ribozyme from 1 species
GCUCUGCUGAGGAGUCCUGCAAUAAGACGAAACGGCCGUCCAGUGC